rnacentral:lncRNA from 1 species
UAAGGACAGAGAAAUGUAAAACAGCUGUCUCGAAAGUUUGCUGCAUGAAGGAUUGGAGCUGCCUUUAUUCCCUCCUCUUCCCUCCUGAUGCACUAUUCAGACCUAUUGCUUAUUGACUGAUAGGCUUAUUGAUGAAAUAUCCAGCAGUGAUGCAGCCCAGGGAGGUCAGUAGGGUGCAAUUACAGGCAGAGCAGGCUUGGGUGUGCUUCUGAACUACUCCUCCCUGCACAGCUCUUUCAGUAUGCAUAUCACAUCUCCCUGCUUGUAGCAGGCUGAUGAGUGUGUGCAGUUAGUGCAGGCACACACAUACUUCUGCGCUUUCCCUGAAAGUGGAGCAUUAGCAACUGCAGUCAAAAAGCACCCUUGCUUCUUCAGCUCUGAUCCUAGCAGCAACUGUCUGAUUCUGUCUGGAGGAACUGGGAGACAGCACUGGAGGCAAGUUUAAAACGGACCUAGUGACACCCGGCUGUCACAUCUGGCUUCAUGAAUCUACUUAUUACCAGUACACUUACAAUUACUUUCCCAGUCCCAUUGGUAGUGUAUGUUCUUGAGGACUGCCUGGCUGGGAAGGAAGGAGCACAGUGCUGAAGGGAGAGGAAAUCAGAUUACCUUCCUAAAAUCAGGUGGAAGUUGCUUACGUGAACUGAAGUUGGUUACCUGGAUGCCAACUGGUGUAAAAUCUCAUUUUCCCUUGGCAUGCUGUGAAUUUUUGUGACAUGGACCCAUUCCUUUAAAGCUGUUCUACUCCAAGAAAAACAGCCAAAACUGAUAUUAUUAUUAUUUUUUUUUGUCAAUCACUAGGCACAAAAAACUGCCUGUAUGCAAGCUGCAGGUAUCUGAGAGCAACUAUGUUUUAUCCUUCCUUCCACUAAAGUGAAGAGAGACAAAACCAAACAUAUAAACAGCAAACAAAUAAACAACAACAACAAACAAGCCCUCA